rnacentral:misc_RNA from 1 species
GAUGAAGAACGCAGCGAAAUGCGAUAAGUAAUGCGAAUUGCAGAAUUUCCGUGAGUCAUCGAAUCUUUGAACGCACAUUGCGCCCACUGGUAUUCCGGUGGGCAUGCCUGUUCGAGCGUCAUUAUCCUCCCUCAAACCCCGGGUUUGGUGUUGGACCCAAGUUGUGUGAACAACUGGUCUCAAAGACAAUGACGGCGUCCGUGGGACCCUCGGUGCAACGAGCUUUUAGGAGCACGCAUCGAGUUGCAAGGACCUUCCGGGCCGGUCUCCUUUACCAUUUUACAAGGUUGACCUCGGAUCAGGUAGGAAUACCCGCUGAACUUAAGCAUAUCAAUAAGCGGGGGA